rnacentral:lncRNA from 1 species
AAUUUGAUUUUACUCUUUAGUCUCGCUUUAAUUAGAUUAUGGCAGCCCCUGGUUUAUUUAUUUAUUUAUUUAUUUAUUUUUGUUUUAAUUUGGGGUGUAGUAUGUCCUUACACUUAAUUAUUAGGAAACCCUCAGUGGUAGGGUAGGUAUUUUUCCUCUCUUUGUAAUUCCCCUGUCUCCCACAAAGAGCCCUUUGGAAUAGUUUCUGACAAGGUGUGGUAAGGAAGUCAGUACUUGGUGCCUUCUUAGAUGCCUUUUGUAUGUUCUAUUCAUAAAGGAUCCUGAUGAUAUGUGGUUUUUCUGGAUUUAAGUGCACAUUUUAAAAGUUAAUUAGAAUUCUGUAGCUAUUAAAAACCACGUUAUUAAAGAGCGUGCAGUGACAUGGGAAGUGCACACAGUGCAGAGCUUUUUGGUGGGGCUUGACUAUUUUUAGAAAGAUCCCCAAAUACCUCUGCUGUCUGCUGUGCCCUCCAUUGAGCUCAGUGUAGGAAAUGGGCUACCAGCAGGAUUUGUAAAGGACAAGUUCCCAGUGGGUCCUCCUCCCUGCCUCCAGCUGCAGGAACCCAUCUGCACCGCCCCCUUCACACAGAGCUCUGCCUGGAGGAACGGACCCCAUCCCAGACAGUGGCCUUGGACCUUUUUGCUAAGGCUCGUCACAUCAGAUCCAGGGAGAGGAAACUCUCAGUUUGAUAAUUGAAAUGCAUCAUCCAAAGUCAAGCUGAGAGCUAACUCCCAACAGCUGAGGCCAGCCAGCCCCAGAGAGGUUGAUGGUGAUGUGAACUCUAGAGACAAGUGGAGGCUUCCAGAAGCUUUGGAGAGUUAGUUCUCUCUUUCCCUUCCCCCUUGGGUUUGACCUGUAAUUAACUUUCUCUCUCUCUCUCUUUCUCUCUCUCUCUCUCUUCCUCCCUCCCCUUUCUCCUUUCUCUCUCUCUCUUUAAAUAUGAUGUAUGUGUUUAUGUGGUCUGUGUUUGUGUGAAUGCAUGCACCUGUGGAGGUCAGAAGUCAACGCUGAGUACCUUCUAUUCCUCCCCAUUGUAGGUUUUGGGACAGAGUCUCUCAUAGAACCUGAAAUUCACCAUUUGGACUAGAUUGGCUGGCCAGUGAGCUCCCCGAAUCUUCCUAUCUUUCCCCACCCCGACCCCAGCUCUGGGGUCACAAAUGUCCAUCAUGCCUGGCCUUUAUGUGGGUACUGGAGAUCUGAACACAGCAAGCACUUCACUCACUGAACCAUCUCCUCAGCCCCCAAAUAUUCGCAAAACUGUAAAUCUGCUUAGGCAUCUUAAAAUCCUAAUACAUAGCAUAAUCUCAUUUUAAAAACCACACACACACACAGAAACAUUGGAAACAUACCAGUUUUUUCUAAAGCUUUUCAUAAUGAGCAUAUUAUAGCUAUUUUUAAAUAAUACAUAAUUAUAGGACCUAAAUCUGUGUGUGUGUGAGAGAGAGAGAGAGCGAGAGCAUGUGUGCUUGCAUGCAUGUGCAUGUAGUGUGUGCACAUGUGUGCAGGGGCAUGUGCCCAUGCAUGCUCAUACAAAGAUUAGAGGAGAAUAUCAGACACCUUCCCCCCACUCUCCCUCCUGCCCUUCCUUUUUUUUUUUUUUUUGUUUGUUUGUUUUGAGACAAUCUCUAACUGAAUCUACAGUUCAGCAUUUUGGCCAGGGCGGCCAUCCGACAGGCCCCCUGGAUCUGCCUGUUUCUGCUCCAUAGCCCACAGGCUGGGGUAGUAGGAGUGUGUAGUCAUUCCUGUCUCUCACAUGGUGCUUGACAUCCGACCUCAGGUCCUCUUGGCUUCACAGCAAACACUCUCAGUCACUGAUCCCUCUCUCUAGCCCUGAAUUCUUUAAAAAAAAUGUCACUUAUAUACAUGUGUAUGUACAUAUGUGUCUUAAGAGUGUCUGGUGCUUGUGUGCAGUUUCCUGUGUGGACCAAGACGUGGUGUUGGAGCUCAAUGGUCCUGGGGUUAGAAUCGGUUCUGAGGCACCUGAUGUGCAGCCCUCAAAUUCCUAAUUACCCCACUUACUAAAGUCUCCUUAUUUUGAAUUGUUACUAAAAAUUGAAAUUUAUGAGUUUCUGUGUACCAUAUGAAGCGAAUAUUGUUACCAAAUCUUAAACUUAUAUUUUGCUAACUUUUAGUGUGAAUUACUUGGGGUGAUUAAAGCUAGCUGGAUUUCUUUAACCAUUUAGUUCUUUUUUUUUUUUUUUGGUUUUUCGAGACAGGAUUUCUCAGUAGCCCUGGCUGUCCUGGAACUCACUCUGUAGGCUGGCCUCGAACUCAGAAAUCCGCCUGCCUCUGCCCCCCGAGUGCUGGGAUUAAAGGUGUGCGCCACCAUGCCUGGCUCAUAUAUUUAGUUUUUGCUGAAAUAAAGAAUUAAGCACUUACUCAUACGAGUCUUAGGGCUGGUCAGCCCUUUAAUAUGCAUUUUACCUAAGUUCCCAGCCAUGGAGAGUUUGGAGUAGGAGGAACUUGGAAAGAUGCAUGCUGUGCCUCUCAGUGCAGAGAUAUGAAAGAACCAUGUACAGAGACUGCGGUUGCAUCAGGUUACAACUUAGGACCAGGUCCACAGAUUCUUGCUUCUCUCUUCAGUUAUUACCCUGAACCCAAGGGGCUCUUUAGCCCCCAGACUCACAUGCUGAGCUUCAGCUCAACACCCGAGCAGCUCCUUGGCCAUUACAGCAUGCUCUGUGUUCUAGAUCAGUUAGGCUUGCUUUCUGGGAUCAACUAGAAGAAAGAUUCUUUUUUUUUUUUCUUUUAAUUUUUUUUAUUAGAUAUUUUCUUUAUUUACAUUUCAAAUGUUAUCCCCUUUCCUGGUUUCCACUCCGAAAAUACCCCUCCCACCCCUCCCCCUGCUCACCAACCCACGCACUCCUGCUUCCUGGCCCUGGCCUUCCCCUAUACUGGGGCAUAGAGCCUUCAUACAACCAAGGGCCUCUCCUCCCAUUGAUGUCUGACUAGGCCAUCCUCUGCUACAUAUGCAGCUGGAGCCAUGAGUCUCACCAUGUGUUUUCUUUGGUUGGUGGUUUAGUCCCAGGGAGCUCUUGGGGUACUGGUUAGUUCAUAUUGUUGUUUCUCUUAUGGGGCUGCAAACCCCUUCAGCUCCUUGGGUCCUUCUCUAGCUCCUCCAUUGGGGACCCUGUGCUCUGUCCAAUGGAUGGCUGUGAGCAUCCACUUCUGUAUUUGUCAGGCACUAGCAGAGCCUCUCAGGAGACAGCUAUAUCAGGCUCCUGUCAGCAAGCAUUUGUUGGCAUCCACAGUAGUGUUUGGUGGUUGUAUAUGGGAUGGAUCUGCAGGUGGGGCUGUCUCUGGAUGGUCAUUCCUUCUGUCUCUGCUCCACAUUUUGUCUCUGUAACUCCUUCCAUGGGUAUUUUGUUCUCCCUUCUAAGAAGGAUUGAAGUAUUCACACUUUGAUCUUCCUUCUUGAGUUUCAUGUGUUUUGGGAAUUGUAUUUGGGUAUUCCGAGCUUCUGAGCUAAUACCCACUUAUCAGUGAGUACAUACCUUGUGGGUUCUUUUGUGAUAUGGGUUACUACACUCAGGAUGAUAUCCUCCAGAUCCAUCCAUUUGCCUAAGAAUUUCAUAAAUUCAUUGUUUUUAAUAGAUACAUAGUACUCCAUUGUGUAAAUAUACCACAUUUUCUGUAUGAAAGAUUCUUUUCAGAAAAAAAUACAAGG